GGGCCUGUACUGGUUUCGACAGCAUAGGUUGCGGUAAGUAUAAGCACGUCGUGUGUUGUGUAAUUAACACGUUAAUCUGAAUACUCACAAUUUAACUGGCAAUACUUCGUAUGCCAUGGCUGCCUAAUCAGUGAUUAGCUAGUCAUUUGGGCCGCAGAACAGGUUUUCUUGAUACCAAGUUCUCCCGCCGACUCAAAACAAAUUCAAGAUGCUGUAAUAAAAGGCUGUGAUUAUUACAAAAGAUUAUUCAGCUAAGGUUAAAGUUGGUUUGUUCUUUUCCUGCUUUUUCCUAACAAUCAAUAAAGAAAUAAACGUGUAGAAACCUUAUGGUAAAUAUGUUUGGACAGGAGUUCGAUUCUCCUCAGGUCCACAA
rnacentral:tmRNA from 1 species